AGUGAACGCUGGCGGUAGGCCUAACACAUGCAAGUCGAACGGCAGCACAGUAAGAGCUUGCUCUUACGGGUGGCGCGUGGCGGACGGGUGAGGAAUACAUCGGAAUCUACUUUUUCGUGGGGGAUAGCGUAGGGAAACUUACGCUAAUACCGCAUACGACCUACGGGUGAAAGCAGGGGAUCUUCGGACCUUGCGCGAUUGAAUGAGCCGAUGUCGGAUUAGCUAGUUGGCGGGGUAAAGGCCCACCAAGGCGACGAUCCGUAGCUGGUCUGAGAGGAUGAUCAGCCACACUGGAACUGAGACACGGUCCAGACUCCUACGGGAGGCAGCAGUGGGGAAUAUUGGACAAUGGGCGCAAGCCUGAUCCAGCCAUACCGCGUGGGUGAAGAAGGCCUUCGGGUUGUAAAGCCCUUUUGUUGGGAAAGAAAAGCAGCAGGUUAAUACCCCGCUGUUCUGACGGUACCCAAAGAAUAAGCACCGGCUAACUUCGUG
rnacentral:rRNA from 1 species